rnacentral:rRNA from 1 species
GGGCGUAAGGGCUCGCAGGCGGUUUCUUAAGUCUGAUGUGAAAGCCCCCGGCUCAACCGGGGAGGGUCAUUGGAAACUGGGAAACUUGAGUGCAGAAGAGGAGAGUGGAAUUCCACGUGUAGCGGUGAAAUGCGUAGAGAUGUGGAGGAACACCAGUGGCGAAGGCGACUCUCUGGUCUGUAACUGACGCUGAGGAGCGAAAGCGUGGGGAGCGAACAGGAUUAGAUACCCUGGUAGUCCACGCCGUAAACGAUGAGUGCUAAGUGUUAGGGGGUUUCCGCCCCUUAGUGCUGCAGCUAACGCAUUAAGCACUCCGCCUGGGGAGUACGGUCGCAAGACUGAAACUCAAAGGAAUUGACGGGGGCCCGCACAAGCGGUGGAGCAUGUGGUUUAAUUCGAAGCAACGCGAAGAACCUUACCAGGUCUUGACAUCCUCUGACGGCGCUAGAGAUAGGGCUUUCCCUUCGGGGACAGAGUGACAGGUGGUGCAUGGUUGUCGUCAGCUCGUGUCGUGAGAUGUUGGGUUAAGUCCCGCAACGAGCGCAACCCUUGAUCUU